UGGGAAGUGGCUCAGUGGUAGAGUGCUUGCCUCGAAUGCAUGAGGCCCUGGAUUAGAUUCCUCAGCAUCACAU
rnacentral:tRNA from 1 species